UAGGGAAUCUUCCGCAAUGGACGCAAGUCUGACGGAGCAACGCCGCGUGAGUGAAGAAGGAUUUCGGUUCGUAAAACUCUGUUGUUAGAGAAGAACAGCGCAUAGAGUAACUGUUAUGCGUGUGACGGUAUCUAACCAGAAAGCCACGGCUAACUACGUGCCAGCAGCCGCGGUAAUACGUAGGUGGCAAGCGUUGUCCGGAUUUAUUGGGCGUAAAGCGAGCGCAGGCGGUUAGAUAAGUCUGAAGUUAAAGGCAGUGGCUCAACCAUUGUAGGCUUUGGAAACUGUUUAACUUGAGUGCAGAAGGGGAGAGUGGAAUUCCAUGUGUAGCGGUGAAAUGCGUAGAUAUAUGGAGGAGCACCGGUGGCGAAAGCGGCUCUCUGGUCUGUAACUGACGCUGAGGCUCGAAAGCGUGGGGAGCGAACAGG
rnacentral:rRNA from 1 species